GUGCUGACUUUGGCAGCACAUAUACUAAACUUUGAAGGACACAGAGAAGAUUAGCAUGGCUCCUGUACAAGGAUGACACAUAAAUUCAUAGUUUUAGACAUAUAA